CCUACGGGCGGCUGCAGUGGGGAAUAUUGGACAAUGGGGGCAACCCUGAUCCAGCCAUGCCGCGUGUGUGAAGAAGGCCCUCGGGUUGUAAAGCACUUUCAGUGAGGAAGAACGCCUGGUGGUUAAUACCCAUCAGGAAAGACAUCACUCACAGAAGAAGCACCGGCUAACUCCGUGCCAGCAGCCGCGGUAAUACGGAGGGUGCGAGCGUUAAUCGGAAUUACUGGGCGUAAAGCGCGCGUAGGUGGCUUGAUAAGCCGGUUGUGAAAGCCCCGGGCUCAACCUGGGAACGGCAUCCGGAACUGUCAAGGUAGAGUGCAGGAGAGGAAGGUAGAAUUCCCGGUGUAGCGGUGAAAUGCGUAGAGAUCGGGAGGAAUACCAGUGGCGAAGGCGGCCUUCUGGACUGACACUGACACUGAGGUGCGAAAGCGUGGGUAGCAAACAGGAUUAGAUACCCUUGUAGUC
rnacentral:rRNA from 1 species